CACAGAACAAUGUAAAUAAUGCAACUUGUACUGAUUAUGGUGUACUGCAACUUUUUGUUGUUUGUUUUUAAUAAUUCAAGUUUUUCUUUCUUCAUUUUUGUUGUUCAAUUAUUUUUAUGUAAAUUAAUGUAAUACAGUUUUUAUUGUAUUAAUCUGCAUAAAGAUAGUACAACAAAUACAGCAAUUUAAUGUAUAAAUAGAUUAAUUUGAGAUUUUUAGAUUUGAAACUGAGAAAACCUUUUUUUUUUUCACAUUAUAAAUGUGAAUUUAAUUGGUAUGGAAAAAUCAGAAUCAGAAAGAGUUUUAUUGCCAAGUAAAAAAGGGAAAAGGAAAGCCACAGUGGCAAAAAAAAAAAAACCCUUUUUGGGGUUGGACAAAAUAUGAGAUUCUUUUUUUGGUCAUUUGUAAUAUAAAUUAGCUUAAUGCAAUCUGCAUAAAGUACAACAAAUACUAUUAUUUAGUGUAUAAAUGCAUGAAUUUAGACAAUUAACACUGAUAAAUAAAAGUUUUUUUUUUCACAUUACAAAUGUGAAUUUAACUGGUAUGGGAAAAAAUUCAAGAAAUGUGAGAAAAAAAAACUUUUCUGGGAUUGGGUUAAAUAUGCGAUUCACUCAGAAAAUCUUUUGAGGCUAUUUUUUUUUUAAGAUUUUAGUUUUUAUGAUUCAUUUAAUACUGUUUAUAGAAAUUAUUUCUCCAUGUUUGAAUACAUAAUCUAAGAUUUUUCAUCACAGCUAAUGUUAUUAUUUUUUUCCUACAGACCGAUGGCCAACAUUCAAAGGAAAAUAAGAAAAAGAAGAAAACUGCAGGGAAGGAGGGAGGAGAGGAAAGUGUUGUAGUCCGCUAAGAUUUUUCAUCACAGCUAAUGUUAUUAUUUUUACUACAGACCGAUGGCAACAUCAAGGAAAUAGAAAAGAGAAACUGCAGGGAAGGAGGGAGGAGAGGAAAGUGUUGUGUCCGCAAGAGACAGCGGCCUCCAGACUUCCUCUCAGGUGGACGAGUAUGAGCACGACACGUCUGAUGAGGAGUUUCCGGUUGAGCGAGUCUGAAUAUCACCAUUGUGUCCAGGUGUUGGUGCACCUGCAUCUGCUACGAUAUGUCCUUUGCAUGCUGUCCUCCAAUCAUUUGUUUCCAGAUGGCCAUUUGACUUUCAACUCUUUUGACUUUUAUUUGGAUGCAUAACAAAUGCAUAAUUUGACUACUUAAGGGAAUUUUAGGCUCUUUAUGAACAAACUGUUUGAAAAACCAGCUUAAUUUCACAAAAAUACUAAAUGGCAGGAAUGCAUAGUUUUGUGCACUUUCUUAGUUUGAGUAAGUUUUAUUCAGGUUUCUUAGUCUAGGUAAUGACAGCUGAGGUCAAAGUCAAACUUUAGUGUACCUUUAGAGGAAUAGUUCACCCAAAAACUAUCCAAGAUGUAGAUGAGUUUGUUUCUUCAUCAGAACAGAUUUGGAGAAAUUUAGCAUUGCAUCACUUGCUCAUCAGCGGAUCCUCUGCAGUGAAUGGGUGCCGUCAGAAUGAGAGUCCAAACAGCUGAUAAAAACAUCACAAUAAUCCACACCACUCCAUCGAUUAAUGUCUUGUGACGCGAAAAGAUGCUUGUUUGUGAAGGAGCUAAUCCAUUAUUAAUGCAUUUGAUGCAUCUGAUCCAUAGUCCAUAAAAGCUCUUCUUCUAGUGAAAAGGACAACCCCAUGUCAUCCUCUCACAUCAAAAUCCACAAACAUAUUUAUUUAGAACUGUUUCAGACUGGUUUUCUUAAAAACUGUGCCUGAUCUGUGCAUAUUUCUCUCCUGAUUCAGACAAGAUGACCUUUUCACUGGAGAAAGCAAUAUUAUGUAUGAAGGCCUCGUAUUUUAGCCAGAAGCAAUGGUUCGAGCUUUGAAAACCGUCUUAAAGGGGCCAUAUGAUGCAAUUUCAAAUUUUCCUUUGUCUUUGGAGUGUUACACGCUCUUGGUGAAUAAAGAAGAUCUGUGAAGUUGCCAAGACAAAAGUCUCAAAUCCAAAGAGAUAUUCUUUAUAAAAGUUGAGGCUCGUCCACGCCCCCACUAAAUGGCUACUUUCUAACACGUCUAAGUGGGAAGAUUUGCAUAACGCCGCCCAGAUGUUCACGCAAAGAAAGAAGACAUACCUUUUAUUCUGGUUGUAGUA
rnacentral:lncRNA from 1 species